AUUGAACGCUGGCGGCAUGCCUAACACAUGCAAGUCGAACGGGGCAGCAAUGCCUAGUGGCGGACGGGUGAGGAAUACGUAGGAAUCUGCCCUUAAGUGGGGGAUAACCAGGGGAAACCCUGACUAAUACCGCAUGAUCUCUUCGGAGCAAAGAGGGGGACCGCAAGGCCUCUCGCUUCUGGAUGAGCCCGCGUCUGAUUAGCUAGUUGGUGGGGUAAAGGCCUACCAAGGCGACGAUCUGUAGCUGGUCUGAGAGGACGACCAGCCACACUGGAACUGAGACACGGUCCAGACUCCUACGGGAGGCAGCAGUGGGGAAUUUUGGACAAUGGGCGCAAGCCUGAUCCAGCAAUGCCGCGUGCAGGAUGAAGGCCUUCGGGUUGUAAACUGCUUUUGUACGGAACGAAACGGUGAGCUCUAAUACAGUUUGCUAAUGACGGUACCGUAAGAAUAAGCACCGGCUAACUACGUGCCAGCAGCCGCCGUAAAAC
rnacentral:rRNA from 1 species